GCACUGAUGAGGAGUCCCAUACUAGGACGAAACGAUCUUCCAGUGC
rnacentral:hammerhead_ribozyme from 1 species